AAGUGCCUACACUUUACCCCUUGUAAAAUAAAAAAUGUUCACUUCAUCUCCUACCAUUAAUGAUCCGUUAGGGUUUCGUUAUAAAGUAUUUUUUUAUGCCAAAAAAACCCUCCGUCCUCUCUACUGUUGCUUUGCCCUCCUCCACCUCGCCGACUCGCCGCCUCGCCCACCUCCACUGCCUCGCCCUCGCCCACAUGUCCAUCCGCGCCCAUAAACACCCCCUCGCCCUCCUCCGCCGUCUCGCCUUCGCCCUCGUUGCCCUUGCCCACCUCUCCAUCCACGACCAACUCGAUUUCUUCUCUAUUGUCGCCGAAAUGGAGGGGCGACGAGGGUGGGGAGCAUGUGGAGAAAAAAAUGAAGAGGAAUCGCGACCGAUCGAGGCGCGAACCGUGGCCGAUCGAGGCAGCAGAUGAGCAAGAUGAGUGAGGAGACGACAAUGGUGAGGGGCAAAAUGGUCAUUUUGUCAUCACAGUUCACACCGUACCCCCGUGAACAUUUUUCAUUUUACAAAGGGGUAAAGUAUAGUUUUUUAAAUGACAAGAGGGAAAAGUAAAAAUCAGAUUUUGAUAGAAAGUUUUUAUGUAAUUUAGCCAAUUUAUUGUUCUACGAAUGAAAACAAGUUAGAUAUGAAGU
rnacentral:lncRNA from 1 species